rnacentral:rRNA from 1 species
UACGGAGGGUGCAAGCGUUAAUCGGAAUUACUGGGCGUAAAGCGUGCGCAGGCGGUUUGUUAAGUCCGUUGUGAAAUCCCGAGCUCAAAUUGGGAAUUGCAAUGGAUACUGGCAAGCUGGAGUAUGGUAGAGGAAGGUGGAAUUCCCGGUGUAGCAGUGAAAUGCGUAGAGAUCGGGAGGAACACCAGUGGCGAAGGCGGCCUUCUGGACCAAUACUGACGCUCAUGCACGAAAGCGUGGGGAGCAAACAGG